CCAAAAUAUUGUAUAAGAUGAGAAGCUAUGUUGUAUGACUGUUGGAAUUGAUAUGUUAAGAAAUUAAUAAAAAUGUGUGUGUGUGUGUGUGUGUGUGUGUGUGUGUGUGUGUGUGUAUAAAAGGUAAAGGACCAUUAGGUCCAGUCGUGGCCGACUCUGGGGUUGCAGUGCUCAUCUCGCUUUAUUGGC